UAUUCCCUAAUGCUCUUGGGAGAUGAAGAUUUUUUGGCAAGAUAGAAAGAAAAUCUGAGGUCAGCAAAGUCAGCAGACAUAGGAGACAGCCAUAAAUCUGGGUGAAAGGAUUACACAGAAGCACAUGCAUCUUUUGGGAAAGAGAUUGAUGAGAAGAAAUUCAGCCUUGAUUUAUUGGUAACAUAAGUGCCAGCACCUAGAGAAAUGACUAACAUGUUGUAGAUG
rnacentral:lncRNA from 1 species